rnacentral:misc_RNA from 1 species
GAUGAAGAACGCAGCGAAAUGCGAUAAGUAAUGUGAAUUGCAGAAUUCAGUGAAUCAUCGAAUCUUUGAACGCACAUUGCGCCCAUUAGUAUUCUAGUGGGCAUGCCUGUUCGAGCGUCAUUUCAACCCUUAAGCCUAGCUUAGUAUUGGGAAUCGACUUUACUGUCGUUCCUCAAAUUCAACGGCGGAUUUAUAGCAAUCUCUGAACGUAGUAAUUUUUUUCCUCGUUUUUGAAGUACUAUAAACCUCAGCCGCUAAACCCCCAAUUUUUCUAUGGUUGACCUCGGAUCAGGUAGGAAUACCCGCUGAACUUAAGCAUAUCAAUAAGCGGAGGA